CCACCAAAGUGUAACGCUACGAGCACGAUCCCCCAUCACCCAAUACACACUUAAACGUUUUGGUCCUAGACUUUUAAUUAUUUAAAAACAAGACUAUACAUGCAAGCCUCAGCACCCCAGUGAGAAAGCCUAUAGCACACCCGCAAACAGACUUAAGGCAUCAGGGACCUCACCCAAUGACGCCAAGCCCACGCCACACCCACAAGGGCAUGCAGCAGUAACUAACAUUUUAAAAUGGGCAAACCCAGCCCGACCAAGCAAUCGUUUGCCUAGAGCCGGCAAAUAUCUGUGCCAGCCGCCGCGGCUACACAGAACCGCUCAAAAUAACAACUCCGGCACAAAAAUGACUAAAAUCAAAUCUGCCAGCUAAAAACAGAACACAUACUGGAUCGUCAAACAACACCAACAAGAACACCUAGUUUUAGCCAAGGAAAUUUGACUCAUUAAAGUCGGAAUACAAACCAGGAUUAGACACCCUGUUAUGCCGAACCCUAACACCACCAUGCCAAAAAAGUACAAAAAAAUUUAAACUUAAAAGACCUGGCGGUGCCUAAAAUCACCCUAGAGGAGCCUGUUUUAUAAUCGAUAAUCCACGAUAAACCUCACCUGCUCUUGCACGUACUUUCAGCCUAUAUACCGCCGUCGACAACCCAUCUCUUUCAAGAGAUGAAGUAAGACAUUUAGAUUACCCCUAAAACGUCAGGUCAAGGUGUAGCUAAUGAGCAGGCAAAUUAUGAGCUACACUACUUCACAAGCACGGAACUAUACACUGAAACACCGUAAAAAAAGAAGGAUUUAGCAGUAAGAAAGAUAAGUGCGUCUCUCUGAACAAGACAUUUAGGCAUGCACACACCGCCCGUCACCCCCUUUAAACCUAAGAAGAGGCAAGUCGUAACAUGGUAAGCGUACCAGAAGGUGCGCUUGGAAG
rnacentral:ncRNA from 1 species